AUCCACAUACAUGAAAGAAAGAAAUCUUUAAGGAAAAAAAAAAGAGGUUGAGAACAUUUAACUGUAGACUAGGUUUUAGUUUUUGGUUAUAUAGCCCUGGAUGGUCUGGAACUUGCUACAUAGAGCUAGCUGGUCUUGAACUCACAGUGACCCAUCUGCCUCUGCCUUUCCAGUGCUAAGGGUAAAUGUGUGUGUCAUCAUUACCAGCUUGGGUGCUAUAGCUUUAAAUUUUACUUAACAUUUCCCUAUGUAGUGUAUGUGCUCCUGUGUGCGUGUGCGUGUGUGUGUGUGUGUGCAUGUAUGUGGACUCCUGAAUAUGCACAUGCACACACCAUGCAUGUCGAGGUCAAAGGAUACUUUUCAAGUCUGUUCUUUACCUCCCCAAAGUGGGUCUCAGGGAAUUAAACUGGUGGUGAGCAGUCAGCUCUCUGGGCCAUCCUCCUGGCCCUGGACUGAGUUUUUGCGAUCCAGGGAGCCAGUGCUAAUUUUGUUAGAUGUAAAUGUGGCUUUGGGGUUGUUAGUGAAACAGCCUACUUGGUUUGAAUGUCUGAAUGGGGAGGGCAGAAGUGAGAGCCACAGACUGUAUCAUUGUUGGAUUAAAUGCGAAUGGAGUUGUAAACAUUUUAAUAAUAAAAUACUAAACAAACUCCU
rnacentral:lncRNA from 1 species